rnacentral:lncRNA from 1 species
GCCAAAUUACCAAAAAAAAAAUGACCAAAUAAUUCCUUAGAUAAAAUAGUCCAGUUUCUAAGAUCUUGGGCAGUGAAUUGUUCAUUUCUUUAGCAACUAGCACCAGAAGGAUGCAUAUUCUUGCUGUAGAAAACAAAAGCAGAAUGACUGCUAGAUAGGAUAGGGGAAAGUGAUGCUAUGUGGCAGGGGAGAUGUUGCUGGUUUAGCCAAGAAAAGACUCUGCCUUCACAGGGAGCCUGGCUGCUAUGAGAAAAGGGGGGCUAUUGGAAUUGUUUAAAGCUGAAUCAUCAGCAUUAUCUUUAUCCACAAUUAUAGACAUUCCUGAGAGCCUCCUGUGUCUAGAGCCCUGUGCUGGGGCUACAGAGAAGGAAGGAAUUGCUGGUUGGCUACUGUUGCUAUGGGAACGAGAAGUCAAAUGAAAUGACAUGAUUCCACCUUUAAGAAUCCAAGAAAAGGGACAAAAACAUGAAGAUGAAUCAUUAAAGAACAGAGGAGGGAGGAGCUACAUUUUUCUGGUGUUGCUGGGGACAAGCCAGGAGCCAAAGGGAGAUUUGUGUGAAAAGCCCCGAAGACUGAUUUGGGGACAUUUACAUGUGAGCUAUUAUUAUAUUUAUUAAUUCAUUGUUAUAUUUAUAAUGUUAUCAUU